CUAAGAAUAUUCCGCAAUGGACGAAAGUCUGACGGAGCGACGCCGCGUGGAUGACGAAGGCCGAAAGGUUGUAAAAUCCUUUUGUUGGGGAAGAAUAAGGCUGGGAGGGAAUGCCCGGCUGAUGACAUGAACCGACGAAUAAGUCCCGGCUAACUACGUGCCAGCAGCCGCGGUAACACGUAGGGGACAAGCGUUAUUCGGAAUUACUGGGCGUAAAGGGCAUGUAGGCGGCUUUGUAAGCCUGGCGUGAAAGUCACCGGCUCAACCGGUGGAUUGCGUCAGGAACUGCAGGGCUUGAGUCAUGGAGAGGAAGGCAGAAUUCCUGGUGUAGGGGUGAAAUCUGUAGAGAUCAGGAAGAAUACCAGUGGCGAAGGCGGCCUUCUGGCCAAUGACUGACGCUGAGGUGCGAAAGUGUGGGGAUCAAACA
rnacentral:rRNA from 1 species